GGCCUAACACAUGCAAGUCGAGGGGUAUAUGUCUUCGGAUAUAGAGACCGGCGCACGGGUGCGUAACGCGUAUGCAAUCUACCUUUCACAGAGGGAUAGCCCAGAGAAAUUUGGAUUAAUACCUCAUAGUAUUACGACUCGGCAUCGAGAUGUAAUUAAAGUCACAACGGUGAAAGAUGAGCAUGCGUCCCAUUAGCUAGUUGGUAAGGUAACGGCUUACCAAGGCAACGAUGGGUAGGGGUCCUGAGAGGGAGAUCCCCCACACUGGUACUGAGACACGGACCAGACUCCUACGGGAGGCAGCAGUGAGGAAUAUUGGUCAAUGGACGCAAGUCUGAACCAGCCAUGCCGCGUGCAGGAUGACGGUCCUAUGGAUUGUAAACUGCUUUUGUACGAGAAGAAACAACAUUACGUGUAAUGUCUUGACGGUAUCGUAAGAAUAAGGAUCGG
rnacentral:rRNA from 1 species